rnacentral:rRNA from 1 species
UACGGAGGGUGCAAGCGUUAUCCGGAUUCACUGGGUUUAAAGGGUGCGUAGGCGGGCAGGUAAGUCAGUGGUGAAAUCCCCGAGCUUAACUCGGGAACUGCCAUUGAUACUAUCUGUCUUGAAUAUUGUGGAGGUAAGCGGAAUAUGUCAUGUAGCGGUGAAAUGCUUAGAGAUGACAUAGAACACCCAUUGCGAAGGCAGCUUACUACGCCUAUAUUGACGCUGAGGCACGAAAAGCGUGGGGGAUCAAACAGG